GGGGCUAUGGCGCAGUUGGUAGCGCGACUCGUUCGCAAUGAGUAGGUCGGGGGUUCGAUUCCCCCUAGCUCCACCG
rnacentral:tRNA from 1 species